AUGGCCGCCGUGAAGAAGGUGGUGGUGAAGCUGGACCUGCGCGACGACACGCGGAAGCGCAAGGCGAUCAAGGCCGUCUCCGCUCUCUGUGGUAUCGAGGAGAUCGCCGUGGACAUGAAGGAGGAGAGGAUGACGGUCGUGGGCACGGUCGACCCCGUCGACGUCGUCCGCAAGCUGCGCAAGCGCUUCUGCAUGGUGCAGAUGGUCUCCGUCGGCCUGGCCAAGGAGGAGAAGAAGAAUGGGGACAAGAAGCAGGAAGGCGAUAAGACGGAUGGAAACAAGGAGAAGAAGAAGAACAGCGACACCAAGGACGUCCCGCCGUGGUGCCCGCCGCACUGUUACCCGCUGCCUCACCACCACCCUCACCCGUGCUGCUUCCUCCACACCGAGGAGAACCCCAGCGCGUGCGUCAUCUGCUGA
rnacentral:rRNA from 1 species